rnacentral:lncRNA from 1 species
CCUCCCCAACUCAACCUCAUCUUCCUCGCCCAACCUAACAUCAUCAUCUCCCAACUCAACGCUCUUCCUCCCCCAACUCAACCUCAUCUUCCUCGCCCAACUCAACACAAUCAUCUCCCAACUCAACCUCAUCUUCCUCCCCAACAUCAUCUUCCUCCCCAACUCAACAUCAUCUUCCUCUUCCAAUUCAUCACGCUCUUCCUCCUCCAACUCAACCUCAUCUUCCUCCCCAACUCAUCAUCAUCUUCCUCUUCCAACCCAACACAAUCAUCUCCCAACUCAACUCUUCCUCCCCAAAAUCAUCUUCCUCCCCCAACCCAACCUCAUCUUCCUCCCCCACUCAAUGUCAUCUUCAUCCCCAACCCAACCUCAUCUUCCUCUUCCAACUCAUCAUCAUCAUCUCCCAACUCAACGCCCUCUUCCUCCCCAACAUCAUCUUCCUCCCCAUCAACCUCAUCUUCCUCCCCAACCUCAUCUUCCUCACCCAACUCAACCUCAUCUUCCUCUUCCAACUCAACAUCAUCUUCAUCCCCAACUCAUCAUCAUCUUCCUCCCCCAACUCAACCUCAUCUUCCUCACCCAACUCAAUGUCAUCAUCUCCCAACUCAACGCCCUCUUCCUCCCCAAUGUCAUCUUCCUCACCCACUCAUCAUCAUCUUCCUCACCCAACUCAACCUCAUCUUCAUCCCCAACUCAACGCUCUUCCUCCCCAACCUCAUCUUCCUCCCCAACUCAACAUCAUCUUCCUCCCCAACCCAACCUCAUCUUCCUCCCCCAACUCAACCUCAUCUUCAUCCCCAACUCAUCAUCUUCCUCCCCAACCUCAUCUUCCUCCCCAAAAACAUCUUCCUCCCCCAGCUCAACGUCAUCUUCAUCCCCGACUCAUCAUCAUCUUCAUCCCUGACUCAUCAUCAUCUUCCUCCCUCAACUCAGCCUCAUCUUCCUCACCCAACUCAUCAUCAUCAUCUCCCAACUCAUCAUCUUCCUCCCCAACCUCAUCUUCCUCCCCAAGAACAUCAUCUUCAUCCCCAACCCAACCUCAUCUUCCUCGCCCAACCUAACAUCAUCAUCUCCCAACUCAACGCUCUUCCUCCCCCAACCCAACCUCAUCUUCCUCCUCCAACUCAUCAUCAUCAUCUCCCAACUCAACGCGCUCUUCCUCCCCAA